rnacentral:rRNA from 1 species
AUUGAACGCUGGCGGCAUGCUUUACACAUGCAAGUCGAACGGCAGCGCGGGCUUCGGCCUGGCGGCGAGUGGCGAACGGGUGAGUAAUUCAUCGGAACGUGCCCAGUAGUGGGGGAUAGCCCGGCGAAAGCCGGAUUAAUACCGCAUACGACCUGAGGGUGAAAGCGGGGGACCGAAAGGCCUCGCGCUAUUGGAGCGGCCGAUGUCGGAUUAGCUAGUUGGUGGGGUAAAGGCUUACCAAGGCGACGAUCCGUAGCUGGUCUGAGAGGACGACCAGCCACACUGGGACUGAGACACGGCCCAGACUCCUACGGGAGGCAGCAGUGGGGAAUUUUGGACAAUGGGGGAAACCCUGAUCCAGCCAUGCCGCGUGCGGGAAGAAGGCCUUCGGGUUGUAAACCGCUUUUGUUCGGGAAGAAAUCCUCUGGGCUAAUACCCCGGGGGGAUGACGGUACCGGAAGAAUAAGCACCGGCUAACUACGUG